UCCCUGGUGGCUCAGACGGUAAAGCAUCUGCGUGCAAUGCAGGAGGCCUGGGUUCGAUCCCUGGGUGGGGAA
rfam:TPA: Bos taurus chromosome 2, whole genome shotgun sequence.